rnacentral:tRNA from 1 species
AGUCCUGAAGCAGCAAAGUGCAAAUUUGACGCAGCACCCUAAAGGGUGCCGGGGCUU